UACGAAGGGGGCUAGCGUUGCUCGGAAUUACUGGGCGUAAAGCGCACGUAGGCGGAUUGCUAAGUCAGGGGUGAAAUCCUGGAGCUCAACUCCAGAACUGCCUUUGAUACUGGCGAUCUCGAGUCCGGGAGAGGUGAGUGGAACUGCGAGUGUAGAGGUGAAAUUCGUAGAUAUUCGCAAGAACACCAGUGGCGAAGGCGGCUCACUGGCCCGGUACUGACGCUGAGGUGCGAAAGCGUGGGGAGCAAACAGG
rnacentral:rRNA from 1 species